UGGGGAAUAUUGGACAAUGGGCGCAAGCCUGAUCCAGCCAUGCCGCGUGAGUGAUGAAGGCCCUAGGGUUGUAAAGCUCUUUCACCGGUGAAGAUAAUGACGGUAACCGGAGAAGAAGCCCCGGCUAACUUCGUGCCAGCAGCCGCGGUAAUACGAAGGGGGCUAGCGUUGUUCGGAUUUACUGGGCGUAAAGCGCACGUAGGCGGACUUUUAAGUCAGGGGUGAAAUCCCGGGGCUCAACCCCGGAACUGCCUUUGAUACUGGAAGUCUUGAGUAUGGUAGAGGUGAGUGGAAUUCCGAGUGUAGAGGUGAAAUUCGUAGAUAUUCGGAGGAACACCAGUGGCGAAGGCGGCUCACUGUACCAUUACUGACGCUGAGGUGCGAAAGCGUGGGGAGCAAACAGG
rnacentral:rRNA from 1 species